AGCAGUUCAGGCCUGGAGAAUGUGCGAGAGCGGCAUGGUCAUGAGCCCAUAGGCACCUGGUGCCUCUCUGAAGAUGCUGUGGUAGACAGGGUUGUACUUUGGGUUCUUGGUGUUUCUUGGGGUGCGGUGGGCGUGGGAGUCCCACUUGGCUCUUUCAUUGUUUGCAGAAGGAGACCAGAUAAACAGACCCUGUCUGAACCCCACUGGAAGGCAGGAUGGAGAGCGGAUGAGUAUUUUAAAAGUUGUCACCGUGUUCAUCUGCAGGGCAUUGGCUUGUCUGAAAGACAGUGUGAAACAGGACUGGCAAAACAAACAGCGGACAUGUUUGCAGCCAAGACACUGGCCAGCCUGUACCACUGGGGAGAAGGCAAGUGCCUUCUCCAGAAUCCAUUCUGCAUUUUCUGCAGAAUCCAUGCAGCUGCACAGAUCUCAUUAGUACCCGGGUCCCUGGAUUGGGCCACUCCUGCCCUCUGAUCAAACCCAGCUUUCUCAUACCCUGUUGUUGUAAGUAAAGUUUUAUUGGAACACAACUACACCCAUUUUUUUCACACAUUGCCUGGAGUUGCAGAGGGGAGCAGUUCCCACAGAGGCCAGGGGACCUGUGAAGUCUCAAAUAUCUACUCUCUGGUCUUCUGCAGAAAGUUUUCCAUCCCCUUUUCCAGACUAGAGGAAGACGAACCUUGGAUGCUUAGGGUAGAGAAUCUCUUCAAAGUAUAGGCAGCCCAGUGUGAGGGGUGGUUACAGAAUAUCUGGAUGGGGGUACCACAGGGCAUACCCACGAUGCUGAAGGAAGAGGCAUGGGGUGAAAGGCAUCCCUUUAUGCUGAAAGAAAGUCCCUGUAGGUCUGAAGGAUUUCAGGGGUGUGGCAGUUAAACUUGAUUAAUUGCCAGCUUGAUUGGCUUGGGAGCCACCCAGGGGAUUAGCUGGAUGUGUUCGGGUGGGCCGUGGAGGUGUGACCUCAGCUCUACUGUCUGGUCUCUGGCCUCGUCUCUCUGGAGCUGUUCUCUCCUCUGAUUCCUGCCCACCACGAACUAAGCAUCCGUUCUGUACCACACCGUCCCGCCAUGGUGUUCCUGCCUUGGAGCCAGCUCACCAUGAACUGAAAACCCCGAAACCGAGAACCAGAGGAAACCUUCCCUUCUUGAAGUUGUGGAUGUUGGAUAUCAUGCCCUGCAAAGAAAGCCGACUAAUUCGAAGGUUGUACUGUGGAGCAGAUGUUGGAAGACUUGCUAAAGUCCUGCCUCAAGCCUAGCAGGCGAGAAGCAGAAACGCUAACAGGGCGACGCAUCAGGCAGCUCAGCCUUCUUCCUCCCUCACAAAAUGUCCUCUAGAGCCCCUAGGGUGCUUCCGGGGAAGCGACCAGAUAAACCACAGCUCCUGCCAGCAGUGCUGGCUUGUGAAGUUUUUCCCUUCCUUUUCAUGCCUGUGGUGAUAAACAUAUGCUGUGGAGCAUAAGAUUUGAUUAUCCUGUCUUAGCGCUUAUAAAUACAAAUGUGAUUAAUGGUCAUAAGAAACAAGUUGACAGUGUAAGACUAAUUCUCAGCAAAGCAGCCCCGCACAGUGCCCGGGAGGGAGAUGGCUGCUCCGGGCAGAGGCUUCGUGGGCUGGGGUGAACCACACUCCCAUCCCUUCCCCCGACUCCUGUUUCCCCAAAGAUCCCCUGCCCUCCCUUUAGAGGCGCUUCCACCUUGAAAAUUAAAAUGGGUGGGUUUUCCCCCUGGAGAGCUACCUGAGGUAAGAGUCCCAGUCUCUUUGUCAGGCCAUUACUAGUCCGGAACUCUGCAGAAAGGCACUUGGCCGCCGCCACUGUUCCCCACUUGGGCCUGGCGGGUCGCCCACAGAUGUUGGGGACAACAUAGCCUAAAUCUGGACAGUUUGUAUUUUAGUAGCGGUGGGGAUAUUCACUCUCUCCUGUCAUUUUGCAUUAAGGACCUGCCACUAAUAAAACUAAUUAAUAACUGCUGGCUCAACGUGGAAUGGGGAUAUUCACUCUCUCCUUCUGUCAUUUUGCAUUAAGGACCUGCCACUAAUAAAACUAAUUAAUAACUGCUGGCUCAACGUGGGAUCAAUCGUUGGACUUCUUAAAGCUGGCAGCCUGCCACCGCUGCUUUUGAAAGAAGCACUUCAUCUUUGUCAGGGACAGGAUGAAUAUUUCUCCACACUUCUAAUUGGACAAAGUGCCUUUCAAACUCGCUGGCAUUUCAGAGAGAGCAGAUAAGUAGACUGUGUGCUGUCCUGAUGCAAUCACCUCUCGGCAGCCUUUCAGAAUGAGAGUCUGUCCUGAGGGAAGCCGGUAGGACUCUGAGCUUCCUCUCCUUUAGUGACCUCUGACCUCCUCUGUGACCUCUGACCCCAGAGGGAGCGCUGUGGAGUGCAUAGGAGCUCAGCACACCCACA
ensembl:lincRNA